GGCGCGACGUCAAGCGUUUGGAUUCCCGCAAAACGUCACUUUUUGCGGGACGUAAUGCGUGUAAUUUUCCGUAAUAAGAAACGUAAUGUGGAUUUUCCGAUGCUCCAAUUUCUGUUUCUCCCGCAUGCUAACUUCUACACCAUUAUAUUAGUGCAUUUGAUUCUAAAAGGAUAACAGUCUAAUAAAAUCAUAAGAAAUAAAACACAUUACUGUUUCUGUGAGAUCUUC
rnacentral:lncRNA from 1 species